rnacentral:rRNA from 1 species
ACGGAGGGUGCAAGCGUUGUUCGGAAUUACUGGGCGUAAAGAGCGUGUAGGCGGUCUGAUAAGUAGAGUGUGAAAGCCCGAGGCUCAACUUCGGAAGUGCACUCUAAACUGUCAGGCUUGAGUACGGGAGAGGGAAGUGGAAUUCCUGGUGUAGAGGUGAAAUUCGUAGAUAACAGGAGGAACACCGGUGGCGAAGGCGUCUUCCUGGACCGAUACUGACGCUGAGACGCGAAAGCGUGGGGAGGAAUCAG